GAUGAACGCUGGCGGCGUGCCUAAUACAUGCAAGUCGAGCGGAGAGGGGACGGGUGAGUAACACGUGGAUAACCUCCUAUAAGGCUGGGAUAACCUCGGGAAACCGGAGCUAAACCGGAAUCUUAUCCCUGGUUCCGCGCUGCAUUAGCUAGUUGGUAGGGUAACGGCUUACCAAGGCCACGAUGCCUAGCCGACCUGAGAGGGUGAUCGGCCACACUGGAACUGAGACACGGUCCAGACUCCUACGGGAGGCAGCAGUAGGGAAUAUUCCACAAUGGGCGAAAGCCUGACGGAGCAACGCCGCGUGAGUGAAGAAGGUCUUCGGGUUGUAAAACACUGUUAGUAGGGAAGCGGUACCUGAACAGAAAGCACCGGCUAACUACGUGCCAGCAGCCGCGGUAAUAC
rnacentral:rRNA from 1 species